rnacentral:ncRNA from 2 species
UACGUUCGUUAGGGGUGGCUUUGUCAGCCUGAGAUCACACCCUUUGAACCUGAUCUGGGUAAUUCCAGCGUAGGGAAAUUGCAGCAUGUUUCU